rnacentral:rRNA from 1 species
AUUGAACGCUGGCGGCAGGCCUAACACAUGCAAGUCGAACGGCAGCACAGAAGGGCUUGCUCUUUGGGUGGCGAGUGGCGGACGGGUGAGUAAUGUCUGGGAAACUGCCCGAUGGAGGGGGAUAACUACUGGAAACGGUAGCUAAUACCGCAUAACGUCGCAAGACCAAAGUGGGGGACCUUCGGGCCUCACACCAUCGGAUGUGCCCAGAUGGGAUUAGCUAGUAGGUGGGGUAAUGGCUCACCUAGGCGACGAUCCCUAGCUGGUCUGAGAGGAUGACCAGCCACACUGGACCUGAGACACGGUGCAGACUCCUACGGGGGGCGGCAGUGGGGAAUAUUGCACAAUGGGCGCAAGCCUGAUGCAGCCAUGCCGCGUGUAUGAAGAAGGCGUUCGGGUUGUAAAGUACUUUCAGCGGGGAGGAAGGCGGUGAGGUUAAUAACCUCGCCGAUUGACGUUACCCGCAGAAGAAGCACCGGCUAACUCCGUGCCAGCAGCCGCCGUAA